rnacentral:lncRNA from 1 species
UGGUGUUUUGGGGUUGAAUAAUUGGGAUUUCAGAGAAUAUGUUGGUUGGGGUUGGGGAUUUUUGGGGUUUCUCUGGGGAUAUUUUUGGGGCAAAUUGGGGUUGUUUUUGGGAUGAAUAAUUGGGAUUUCAGGCAAUAUUUGGGGGGAUUUUUUUUGAUUUUUGGGGUUUCUUUGGGGAUAUUUUUGGGUGGGAACUGGGGCUGUUUUUGGGGUGAACCUUUGGGAUUUCAGGGAAUAUUUGGGGGAUUUUUUGGGGAUUUUUGGGGUUUAUUUGGGGAUGUUUUUUGGGGGAAAAUGUUUUUUUUUUGGGAUGAAUAAUUGGGAUUUCAGGGAAUAUUUGGGGGGCUUUUUUUUGGAUUUUUGAGGUUUCUUUGGGGCUUUCUCUGGGGAUAUUUUUGGGGAUUUUUCAGGGGAAUUGGGGUUGAUUUUGGGAUGAAUAGUUGGGAUUUCAGGCAAUAUUUUGGGUUGAUUUUUUUUUUUGAUUUUUGGGGCUUCUCUGGGGAUAUUUUUAGUGGGGAAUUGGGGUUGUUUUUGGGGUGAACCUUUGGUAUUUCAGGGAAUAUUUUGGGGGAUUUUUCUGUGAUUUUGGGGGUUUCCCUGGGGAGUUUUUGGGGAUAUUUUUGGUGGGGAAUUGGGGUUGGUUUUGGGAUGAAUCUUUGGGAUUUCAGGCAAUAAUUUAGGGGGGUUUUUUUGGGAUUUUUGGGGUUUCUUUGGGGAUAUUUUUGGGGUGAACCUUUGGGACUUCAGGGAAUAAUUUGGGGGAUUUUCCUGUGAUUUUGGGGAUCUUUGGGGAUUUUUUUCGUGGGAAUUUGGGCUGUUUUUGGGCUGAAUAAUUUGGAUUUCAGGGAAUAUUUGGGGGAUUUUUUGGGGGAUUUUUGUGGUUUCUCUGGGGAUAUUUUAGGGGUGGGAAUUGGGGCUGGUUUUGGGUUGAACCUUUGGGAUUUCAGGCAAUAAUUUGGGUGUUUUUUCCCCCCAGGAUGUGGCUCAGGAGGAGCCGCAGCUGCCGGAGCCGUCGCGCUGCGCUCUGCCCGCCCUCGGGGCCGCCCUCCUGCACUUCCUGGGGCACCUGCUGGCCAUCCCUGCCUUCCUCCAGCACGUCCAGGAGGUGAUCGAGGCCCGCCAGCUCUCUGCUCCCUUCCUGCUGCCCGAGGAGGCCUUCGGGGACAACCCCAGGUGGGAAUUCCCAAAAACCCCAAAUCCCCCAAAAUUCCCCCUUUUUUGCUCCCAUUUCCCCCUUUCCCCAUUUUCCUGACUUUCCCCCCAUUUUCCCCCCAUUUUCCCCAAUUUCCCCCAAUUUUCCCCCCAUUUUCCCCCCAUUUCCAACAUUUUUCCCACAUUUUCCCCCAUUUUCCCCCCAUUUUCCCCCCAUUUUUCCCCAUUUUUCCCCAUUUUUCCCCAUUUUUCCCCUUUCCUCCCAUUUUCCCCUCAUUUUUCCCCAUUCCCCCCAUUUUUCCACUCUUUUUUCUCCAUUUUCAC